rnacentral:rRNA from 1 species
UACGUAGGGUGCAAGCGUUGUCCGGAAUUAUUGGGCGUAAAGAGCUCGUAGGCGGUUUGUCGCGUCGAAUGUGAAAACCCGGGGCUCAACCCCGGGCCUGCAUUCGAUACGGGCAGACUAGAGUUCGGUAGGGGAGCCUGGAAUUCCUGGUGUAGCGGUGAAAUGCGCAGAUAUCAGGAGGAACACCGGUGGCGAAGGCGGGACUCUGGGCCGAUACUGACGCUGAGGAGCGAAAGCGUGGGGAGCAAACAGG